UACGCAGGGGGCUAGCGUUGUUCGGAUUUACUGGGCGUAAAGCGCACGUAGGCGGAUCGUUAAGUCGGGGGUGAAAUCCUGGAGCUCAACUCCAGAACUGCCUUCGAUACUGGCGAUCUUGAGUCCGGAAGAGGUGAGUGGAACUCCUAGUGUAGAGGUGGAAUUCGUAGAUAUUAGGAGGAACACCAGAGGCGAAGGCGACUAUCUGGGCCAUUACUGACGCUAAGGUACGAAAGCGUGGGGAGCAAACAGG
rnacentral:rRNA from 1 species